CCUACGGGAGGCAGCAGUAAGGAAUAUUGGUCAAUGGAGGCAACUCUGAACCAGCCGUGCCGCGUGCAGGAAGAAGGCCCUAUGGGUCGUAAACUGCUUUUGUACCAGAGAAAACCCGAGUACGUGUACUCGGUUGAUAGUAUGGUAAGAAUAAGCAUCGGCUAACUUCGUGCCAGCAGCCGCGGUAAGACGAAGGAUGCAAGCGUUAUCCGGAUUCAUUGGGUUUAAAGGGUGCGUAGGCGGACUGAUAAGUCAGUGGUGAAAUCUCUCAGCUUAACUGAGAAACUGCCAUUGAUACUGUUAGUCUAGAGUAUAGAUGACGUUGGCGGAAUAUGACAUGUAGUGGUGAAAUACUUAGAUAUGUCAUAGAACACCGAUUGCGAAGGCAGCUAACGAAACUAUAACUGACGCUGAGGCACGAAAGUGCGGGGAUCAAACAGGAUUAGAUACCCUGGUAGUCCGCACCGUAAACGAUGAUUACUCGUUGUUGGCAAUAUGACCGUCAGCGACCAAGCGAAAGCGAUAAGUAAUCCACCUGGGGAGUACGCCGGCAACGGUGAAACUCAAAUGAAUUGACGG
rnacentral:rRNA from 1 species